AUUGAACCUAGGGCGUUAGCACUCAGCUACAUCCCUAGCCCUUUUUACUUUUUUGUUUGGAGGCAAGGUCUCACUAAAUUGAGCUCCUGAUCCUCUUGCCUCAGCCUCCCUCGGUGCUGGGACUACAGACCCAUUCCACUGUCAAGAUCUCCCAUGCAGUAUGGACUACAGGGACUGAACUCAGGACCUUGUGCUUGUGAGGCAGGCAGUGGCACCACUGACCUAAAUCUCUGGCCUUUGGCUUCUCUCAAAUUUAAUGGAACUAUCCAGAGAAGUUAAACAACUUGGACAAGGUCACACCCACGUCAGAUGAUGGAGCCCAGAUUAGACUGGAGAGCUGAUUCUCAAGUGUAUGCUCAUGAUACGGUGAAUAAAUAUUUGGUGGAAUCUCUGGUGUGAAAAGAGUGCAUUUUGUAAGUCAAUCAGGUUGAUUGGUGCCUGGGGUCCCCUAGAGAGCUUCAGGAUGGGAACUGGUGGGUGAGAAAGACCAAGGCAUAAUUAGUUGAGACUUUCAACCUCACCUACCAAUUUCUGUUAUCACCAAUGGCCAACGAUGUAAUUAAUCAUGCAGAAUGUAAUGAAGCCUCUAUAAAACUCAGAAGGAGGGGGUUCAAAUGAGCUUUCAGGUGGCUGAACAUGUAGAAGAUCCUGGAGGGUAGCAAAUCCAGAGUAUAAAGCUGUGUCCCUUUCUACUAUCUGGUCCUAUACGUCUCCUCCUCCCCCUGUCCAUCUGUAUCCUGUUUCGUCCUUUAUAAUAAGUGGGUAAAUGUGAGUAGAGCCUCUCCCUGAGUUCUGUGAGCUGUCCAGACAAUCAGUCACACCUGACAAGGGGUCAUGGGAAAUUUUAUAGUCUGCUGGUCCGAAGCAGACCACAAUCCAUGCUAGCAACUGGCAUCUGAAGUGGGAGGCAGUUUUGUGGGACCUGUCUCUCAACCUGUGGGAUUUGACACUAUCUUUAGGUCAGAAAUGAGCUGAACUGGAGGACACACUGCCGGUGUCCACUAAAUAAUCUGCAGACAAAAAUUUCUUGUUGGUGUGGAGAAAUCCCCACACACAUUUGGUGAUGGAAGUAUGUUAAAUGCUGUGUGGUAAUAGGAACAAAAAGCACUUUACUUCUGCUUUUUUUUUUCUUUUUUUGUUUUGUUUCUUCUCAAGACAGGGUCUUACUUGGUAGUCCCGGCUGGCCUUGAAUUUGCAAUCCUCCUCUCUCAACCUUCUGAGUGCUAGGAUUAUAGGGGCAGGCUCAAGCCUGACUCUUCCCUUUAUCUGUAAUAUUCCUUCCAUUGCAUCACAUUGCCUCCUCAGAAAAAGCCCUGGGAAUGAGAAAGGACCUCUGCUUUAACAUGUGUCACUUGAUUCACUUGUGGUGAUGAUGAUGAGGUAAGAAGAGGAAAGAAAAACAUUAUGAGAAAAUAUUUAAAAUUUAGUUUGGCCAUACAUAAAUAGCAGUCAUUCUUCAGAAGGACUUCUACCAUAAGUCUAAUUACUAUGGAACACAAUGAUACUUCCUGUAUCAUUAAUAAACAUGUAUGUAUGCAAGCAUGUGUUUACUCAAUGUUUUAGGUGAUUCUGACAUUAAUUAAUUUCUGUAUAUAUUCAGUGUACAUUUAAUAUCCAGGUCAUAAGGUCUUCUGGGCAUCAAAAUAUGAAACUGUAUCAAGUCUGGAGAUAUAUCAUCACUGUACUUAACAUAAAAAUAUUGGUUUGGGAAAUUUCUAACUUUUCAACCAAAAAAAUUCCACAAAAGUACUUUUUUCCCCUGGGAAAUUUGAAUUCUUAUAAAAUUUGCAUGGAGAACAAGGAGCAAAAGAACUUUCUCAAGUCACUUUUAAAAAACA
ensembl:lncRNA